AACAUUUCUGUUUUGUGUGAAAUUGGAUUUACUUCAAACAACUAGUUUCUGUGGCGUGCCGGUACUUUUGAGUUAGGUACAACUUGAUCUUCUUUUCUUGUUCACGCUUCUUGACUUCUUCUCCAAGCAAUUGAGAGCAAGCAUGAUCAAACCUGGUGCAAGGUUCUUUCUUCAGACCUAAGGAAAUCCUCAGGAUUUUUCUCUGCUCACAUGAACAGACAGAUCCUACUUGAGCCGAUAAGGUCAAGCAGAGCUAAUGAAUGUUAGGAUAGGAUAUUUGUCAAGGAUUUCUCCUCAACAAUGGAUAUUUGUUAGGUUUUUACACCCAACAAUGGUUUGGCAGGGAUUUGCUGACGGAUCAGACUUUAUGAGUUGAAGUUGCCAACGAUCGGACUUGGUUUUUGCCAACGGAUUGGUCUUUGGGUUUGUCGACGAAUCGGUCUUGAAUAGAAAAGACACUAGAGAGUCUUUUAUAGGUGGGUGCUCCAGGGAGACUUUGAUAUUUGCAGUGUGCAAAGUUUGAUUGUAAGAUUGGCUGUCCUUUUGCUUGUUCCCCUUGACCCCUUUAUACAAGGAACUAGGGUUCAAAUUCCUUGUGGAUCAAGGCAUAUUGGACCUCUAUCUUAACAGGAAAGUAUCUCUUAAUCAUAUUAUAAAUUAGAUUCUUAAGCAACCACAAUAUCUCUACCAUAAUUUACCCAAGGGAAAGAAAUAUAUUUACAAAGACAAAUAGGACCGUAGGUGUCGGUCCAAUGGGCUUUCAAUACUAGACUAAUCCAAAAAUAUUAAUAUAGGCCCAAACAUUGCCCCCUAGGCCUCGAAAUUGAGUCCUAACCCAACACUGAAAUUGAAGAGGGCUAAACCCCAAAAAGGGUGUAACGUUUAACUGAAACACUGCAUUGUUUCCCUCGCUUCUCCUACUUCUCACAAAAGCUAAAGACAUAAUUGUUCAUAGAAACCCUUUUAGUUUCUAUAAACGGAGAACACUUCUCUUGUUCGAUCUCAAACAACACAAUGACAUUCUCCAAAUCUAAUCCCAAAGCUCCUAAGCAAGGCGUAGCCGAGAAUUUCAAGAUGAACAUGGUCAAUCUGAAGCCCCAUCUCAAAGCUUAUGGUUAUUAUAUGAAGAUCAAUUCUGAUAAGACAGUUGCAUUGGAACCUUGGGUGAAGUUGAUUUCAAGACCCACCCCGAAUUUUACCCUAAAAUCAGGAGUAAAUCCUGCGGGGACCAUCUCCAAAGAAGAUAUUACCAAAAAUUUGGCAUAACCUCCCUUGAAAAUGGACAACCCUUCCUAAAGAAAACCUGCAAACACUCCCAAAAUUUUCAAUCCAACCUUAACUUCUGGAGCCUACGUGCUCCCCAAAACACAACACCACCCAAAUUAUUUACUAAUCUAAACAAAUCUCAUAUCCAACCAUUUAUAGGUUCAGAGCAACUCUAACAGGAAGAAAGGAAACAUAAAAAAAAAAAAAUUAACAAGCGGAAGCUAUAUGAUGACUAUGCCUCAUCUCCAUGUACGCCUGACCUCAACUAUGCAAUCCUGCAAACUGGGCAUUUUUAAAAGAAGGGCCCAGGGGAAGACAUUUGAAACCGUUAGAGUGAGUGGACAAAAAUAAAUUAAUAAAUAUUUAUGCAUUCCCAAUUUGAAUUUCAUAGAAAAUAUACUACAUGCGGCAACUCAAAAGCUCACAACUCAACGAUUGGCAAUUUCGUGACUAGCUCCGGCUAGCCUCCAAACUUAUAUAUAUAUAAAUAAAGCCUCUCAGGCUAAAUUAUAUAUAAAUAUAUAUAUGUGUAUGUAUUUAUACUCGUCAUACUCCUUGUACGAAUUCUAUGAAGGAAUAAGCAAAAUAGAAAUUCAUACAAGACUACUACGCUUGCGUCUAACGCUCACGUCACACCAUAAUGGAAUUUUUCCUCAUUAUGGCGGAAAAGCACGAGUGUAUAUACGUGUGGACUCCCUAUAUGAAACCUAUAUGAACCAGAAAAGAAAGUAGUUUUCAUAUAGGGCUACUACGCUUGUGUCUAACACUCAUGUUACGCCAUAAUGAAAUUUUUCCUCAUUAUGACGGAUCAAGCACGUAUGGCUAGUUAGCAUUUAUAUAUACAUACUAUCCUCAUAAACAUCCAAUAAACAUAUCCACCGAAAAUCUCAUUUCCGGGAACUCUCCAAAGGAGGAAAAUUGCCAAAUAUCUAAGAAAGAAAUAAAUCUCAGCAAAAGAAAUAAAUGAUCAACAAAAUAAUUCAUCGCAUGUUUUUCAAUUAAAACAAAGGUCCACUCACAACUUUAGGCCUAAGCCUGACGUCAAUCCGAGGCUUCUUCUGCUCGGGCCUCCUCUCGUCCUGUUCCAGAUAUAUAAUUAAUUUCCCACUAAAAAUCCAAUAAUUAAACAAAAUGGGCAAAAUUAAACGUGAGCCUCCCACACACUCAUCAUUGCCCAACUUCGCCAUUCUUAACUCAAAAUGGCUCAAACUUCACCGAACAUACCGGCAGCCCUAAUUCAACCUUCCACAGAUUAAUGGCAUAAAUCAUUCGGCCGGAUUCUACAUUAUUCAACUGCCAAAAAUACCACACUUCGGAAAUUCAUAAACCUGUCCAAAACUCAUCCAAAAAUUCCAUAAUUCACUUCAAUAAACUCCCCUUAAUAUUCCAAAUUUAAAAACAUUAAAGUCUCCCAACCGGCGCCGGCGCCGGCGUCAGCUCCCCCGGCAGCGGCAGCCGGAGGCCGAUUCCAGCGACCUUCAAUUCCUACCACAUUUUAACAGAAGCUUCCUCUCCACUCCCUCUACAAGUUUUCUAACUAGCACAAACACAAAUUCCAAGCCUAGCUAGGGCAAUCGAACAUAAACACCUAAAGAGCCAUAGGAUUUCAACUUUGAAUUUCUCCUUACCUAGCUCAAGAGGGAGUGAGACCUUUGGAGGGGUUGCUGCAUAGGAGGAGGGCUACAAAACUAGCCAAGGAUCACCGGCUUUGGUGGCCGGAGGAGGGAGUUCUGGCAAUGGAGGGCUUAACGCAAUUGGACCUCUCGGGCCCGAUAUCUUCCUCAUGGCGGCGCUAGGGGGGCUGUCACCGGCCUAGAAUGGAAGCUGGGAUGGAGAUCGACCGAACGGGACCGGUGCGGCAGUCUCAGGCGGCUGGACGGCGGCGGACGAGCGGCCGAAAGUUUUCGGCAGAGAGAUGGCUCGGGAGAAAAACCGGGAGAGAGAGGGAGAAAAGAAAGAGAGGGAGUUGGGUUUGGGCCUCACCCAUCCGGUCCAAAACCUUUAAACCCACACUUACUCCAAAAUAAAACACCCCGAAAAAAUAGUACCCUAAUAAAAAUUACCUUUUACUGGCUAAAAUUUACCAUUUUUACCGUCGUCAUAUAUUUUUCUCUUACGAAUAAUUCUCCGUAAAUAACCGUCCCCCAAACCCCUCUAGGGACUAAUUAAACUAUAACCUCAAUGACGGAGACUAUAAAAUUCUUAUUAUAACCAAGAUAGUAAAUAAGGUAAAAAUUUAAGGGUCGGGAUGUGACAAUUCUUCCCUCCUUAUAAAAAUUUCGUCCUCGAAAUUUACAUACCUGCCAAUCGAAGAGAUAGGGAUACCGUUCCCAUUUACUCCUCUGAUUCCCAAGUAGUUUCCUCUACACUAUGACUCCUUCAUAGAACUUUAACAAGAGGAAAUGAUUUGCUUCUAAGCACUUGCUCUUUUGGGUCAAGAAUCUGAAUCGGCUCCUCAUCAUAGGUCAAAACUUUUUCCAAUUAAUCAGCUGCUCUCGCAACACAUGAAAGAGAUCGGCAAUAAACUUGCGAAGCAUGGAUACAUGAAACACAUUAUGUAUCUUGGAUAACUCCGGAGGCAAAACUAACCGAUACGCAAAAGAGCCAACUUGAUCUUAAAACCCAUAAGGGCCAAUGAAUCUCGAACCAAGCUUUUCACGUUACCAAAACGUACCACCCCUUUCCGAGGAGACAAUUUCGAAAACACCCCAAACACUCAUUUGAAACUCAUGGUGCUUCUUACGGACAUCUUUAUAACUCUUCUGGCUACUAAGAGCUGCUUUGAGUCUACCUCUGACUCCUUUAACCUUUUCAUUUGAAUCCUGAAUUAUUUUAAAUCUUCUCAAAGACUCUAAAUCCCUCGUUGAACUGCCAUUAACGUUUACACGAAAGUGAGUUCAGUGAUACCUGCUCCAGAGUACGAGUACUCGUAGGUAUGCACUCUUUCUUGAGCAAUGGAAAUCGCUAACUCAAAUAAAGCGCAUAAAUUUGCUAUCACCAUCGGGCUAAAAUCUCCUAAUGUCACACAACAACCUCGUCAUUACGUUGAUCACAAACUCGACGAUGAAGCCCACUUGCUAGGAAACUAAAGUUCACCCAUUCCCACAAGCUCAUAGGGGUUAAAAUUAAGACCCGCUAAUUGAACAGAUUUAAGGAUGCACACACUGUAGAACUGCAACAAUCACUUCUAAUACCGAGACACUUUGCGGAGUCAAAGCUCUCGCAAGUCCACAAGACAACCUUGUUCUGCCUAAGUGACCAGUCUACCAACAUAUGAUAACCUCGAUUCUCGAAAUGACAUUAUGAAAAGAUCAAUACCACGUCACUUAGGUCUCUCCACCAAAACUAUUACAUUACCAUUUUAUACACCACAAACUAGCAGCUUAUGGGAAUUUCAACUCUCUCCUGAUUCUGCGAUCUCCACUAUUCUCUUUACCACAAACCAGAAGAUAAUCUGAAGCAUGACUAUCAUGUGGAAACUGGAUAUUCCUCCAUGCUUGCCAUAAACAAAAAUGACUAAUAAUGCCCACGAAGAAUUCGCAUAGUUAAAUCAUGAUGCUAAACUUGACGUUGAAAUCCACAUAAAUAGAACACCUUCCUUAAGCAUUGACAAAAUUUACAUCUCCAGCCAUGCUACUUAUUCGGGUACAAUCACGACCCCAAGAGCAAUAAUUAAAAGCACAUGGCUCACUCUAGCCGUUCCAUAAGAAUGAUUCUAAAUAUCAAAACCUUUGAACUCGACAAACACACUUCUUUUCUACCUAUAAUAAUAAUUAAUCUGAUAGCAGAAAACGAUCUGAAAAUCAGAUAUGCUCAAGUCUCCUACGCCUCCCAGGGCCAUGGCUUCCCACCAAAAAGAUUCUUUGAUACUCGAGCUUGCAAUAACAUGCAACUAACAAAAACAAAGAUAAAUUUUUAUACAAGACCGACUACUACACCUUGUGGUUCACCAACCAAUGAAAACCAUGAAUUCAAGCAAGAAUCAAAACUCAUGGCUUAACUCAGCUCAAGUUCUAGAAGAAAUGACUUAAAGCACACAAAAGGCAAGUCCUCUAACUUUGAGCUCAAAAGCUCCACAAAUCUCCGAUAUUCGCCAGAACCCGCUUCGAAAUCGCACUAGAAACCUCCACUAAUCAUCCUGACACCAACGGAUGAACGCACAACCAAAUAACGAAGACCUCCCAAAUCAAACUUGGAUCAAUUACUGGUCCCACCACAAUACGAUCCCGAGAAGAGACGCUGAUCAACCUAUCAAAAUCUACUACUCUCAAUAUUAAAACUCUUAAUAAACCUUGACUCUAGACGCUUCUUGAGUCAAUAGGGGAAAACCUUCUCCCAUAAUGCUACAACAUAAAAUAUACCUACAACGACACCAACCAUCUAAUCAACAUCACCACACGACUCUUAGACUACCACAUAGGACUUAUGGCUCCAAGAUUCAUCGGUUAAUUAAACUCCAGCUCACAUGGGAUCACGAUUGGAUUUAUCCAGGAUCCAUGCCUACAACACAACAACCAAUUUAUCAUUUACCUCGAAACUUCGACAAAAUAACCAAAAUCUCUACCCUUCAUAUUGAAGCAUUGAAUUUGCAUUCCUUAAUUUCAAGCUCUGAGGAUGCUACCCAAAAACUACAGUAGGAAUAAUUUAAAUAUUCCCACACACACCACAACCAAAACUUUACUCCAUCUCACUGAAUAAGAUAUAAGGUGAGAACAGAUCCUCCCAUUGUUGUGUCGUAGCUAGUCACCCAUUGCGAACGAAGUGAUGUCAAUAACCAACUUCGAUCACAAAUUCAAGACUUAAAUCAACCACCCGGAACGACAUUGCUUAAAAAAAUUACUUUGGACACCCACGCACUCUUGCUCCAUGAUCUAGUGGGUUUUAUUCCACUGCUACCACUUCCACCAACUCCACACAACUGCUAAAGAAUACCCAUGACAACACAUAUUAAAUUCACCAGGUGUUGUCAUAAAACUGGAGUGACCACAACCAUCCCGCUCUCACUCCACCAUUACUUUUCAAUUCCAUCUAAAUUUAUCAUCUUCCCAGAACACUCAACAAAACUAGAGACCAAACUUCAACACCUAGAAUUCCGAAAGGAUCCAUAAAGGCCACACAAUUUAAAAAAAUACUAUAACCGAUAAUUGCCACUCGACUCUUCAAAGCUUGCUUGCAAUUCGAAACAUUUAAUAACACCAUUCAAUUCCUUAAAUUCUCUUACUAUAACGCAUGAAUACAUAUGUCACAACGCUAUGCCCAUGGGCUGUUGAAAAACCAACAACCCCAGAAAAUAAUUCGGGAGUCAUUACACCGAGCGUCUCAACCAACUCCAGCUAAAUCACAAUAUAGACAAAGCCAUCCGAAUCUUAUUACUCAUCGACUAUUAUUAUCCGUCAUUUCCAAAAGAUAUUACCACCACCAUCUUAAUAAAUUGCUCAAAAGAUAAAAACUUAACCAUAAUUAGAGUUGUAGGAACCAGAAUAUGUGCUGACAUAACCAGCAUUAUCCUAAAAUGUUGCCAACUGCUUUCUACUGCGGAUAAGCAUAGUCGGCAAAAUGGCUUUAAAUCAUGACUUAUAUAAAUUGACAUUUAGCUCUUUAUGUAGCAAUGCCUUACCACCCAAUCACUAGCCACAAAUCCCACGUGACUAAAAUCGCUCAAGCUUAGGGUCCGCAACAACUCAUAAAGGUACCUCCUAGAGUUACCUCCAAGAGUUACUAUAGGUACCCACCAUAACACUUCAACUAACUUUAACCUCAAAAGAAAACACCACUACCUCAAACUUUCUUUCUAACUAUUUUCUCCCAGAAGUCAAAUAACUCGAAGCCAAGAUUUUCUAUCGGACUACAACAACUUCACACUUGCCCACUAUAAAUAGUGACCUCCAAGGCUUGAAUUAAACUUUUCACCUUCUACACAUUCGCACGAGAUGCUCACCCUAGCAUCUUAAUCAUAACCCAAACAAUCAUUGAUCACAUGAAAGGAAUGCUGCCAUGCAUAUGAGUUCCCAUCUCGCAAUUAAACUCUAACGUACAAUUUAUGAUAUCAACUAGAUACCCUUGGAAAAGGCAUAAACCAAACACCUCCUUCCCUAAUCAAAGCAGGAUGAUCACUUAAGAGGUCGGCGUACGGAGGCCUAGUCUUGAAGAUAUAGACAUUUAUGGAUAAUACUGUCCAUAGAUAAGACAAGAAUAACUACAUCACAAACCUAAUCAACACAUAGUGUCUAAAACAUAUAAUGCUAAUAGAUCCGCCACAGUCGGACCAUCACUCUAUAGACACUAAGUAUGACCAAGAAUAUGAGGUAGUACUAAAAAGAGAAAGGAAUCGAAUAACGUAGUGCUCUGAUACCAAUUGUCAAAACCCACCCCGAAUUUUACCCUAAAAUCCGGAGUAAAUCCUGCGGGGACCACCUCCAAAGAAGAUAUUACCGAAAAUUUGGCAUAACCUCCCUUGAAAAUGGACAACCCUUCCUAAAGAAAACCUGCAAACACUCCCAAAAUUUUCAAUCCAACCUUAACUUCUGGAGCCUACGUGCUCCCCAAAACACAACACCACCCAAAUUAUUUACUAAUCUAAACAAAUCUCAUAUCCAACCAUUUAUAGGUUCAGAGCAACUCUAACAGGAAGAAAGGAAACAUAAAAAAAAAAUUAACAAGUGGAAGCUAUAUGAUGACUAUGCCUCAUCUCCAUGGAAGCUAUAUGAUGACUAUGCCUCAUCUCCAUGUACGCUUGGCCUCAACUAUGCAAUCCUGCAAACUGGGCAUUUUUAAAAAGAAGGGCCCAGGGGAAGACAUUUGAAACCGUUAGAGUGAGUGGACAAAAAUAAAUUAAUAAAUAUUUAUGCAUUCCAAAUUUGAAUUUCAUAGAAAAUAUACUGCAUGCGGCAGCUCAAAAGCUCACAACCCAACGAUUGCCAAUUUCGUGACUAGCCCCGGCUAGUCUCCAAACUUAACAAAAAUAAAGCCUCUCAGGCUAAAUUAUAUAUAAAUAUAUAUAUAUAUAUAUAUGUGUAUAUAUUUAUACUCGUCAUACUCCUUGUACGAAUUCUAUGAAGGAAUAAGCAAAAUAGAAAUUCAUACAAGAC
rnacentral:lncRNA from 1 species